UUAAGUAGUAAUGCUGCAGGUAGUUGAUAUUUAAUAUAUACCUACACACUGCUGCUUAGGA
rnacentral:pre_miRNA from 1 species